rnacentral:rRNA from 1 species
GAUGAACGCUGGCGGCGUGCCUAAUACAUGCAAGUCGAGCGAAUGGAUUAAGAGCUUGCUCUUAUGAAGUUAGCGGCGGACGGGUGAGUAACACGUGGGUAACCUGCCCAUAAGACUGGGAUAACUCCGGGAAACCGGGGCUAAUACCGGAUAACAUUUUGAACCGCAUGGUUCGAAAUUGAAAGGCGGCUUCGGCUGUCACUUAUGGAUGGACCCGCGUAGCAUUAGCUAGUUGGUGAGGUAACGGUUCACCAAGGCAACGAUGCGUAGCCGCCCUGAGAGGGUGAUCGGCCACACUGGAACUGAGACACGGCCCAGACUCAUACGGGAGGCAGCAGUAGGGAAUCUUCCGCAAUGGACGAAAGUCUGACGGAGCAACGCCGCGUGAGUGAUGAAGGCUUUCGGGUCGUAAAACUCUGUUGUUAGGGAAGAACAAGUGCUAGUUGAAUAAGCUGGCACCUUGACGGUACCUAACCAGAAAGCCACGGCUAACUACGUGCCAGCCGCCGCGGUAA